GAUAAAAAGUAAAAGAAGGGCAGACGGUGGAUGCCUUGGCUCUCGGAGGCGAUGAAGGACGUGAUAAGCUGCGAAAAGCCCGGUUGAGGUGCAAAUAACCCUUGACGCCGGGAUAUCCGAAUGGGGCAACCCGGCCGGUGGAAGACCGGUCACAUCGAAAGAUGAGCGAACGUGGGGAACUGAAACAUCUAAGUACCCAUAGGAAGAGAAAAUAAUAAUGAUUGCGUAAGUAGUGGCGAGCGAACGCGCAAGAGCCCAAACCAUAGAUGUUUCGGCAUCAUAUGGGGUUGUAGGAUCGCACUAAAGGCAAGAAGUGAAGGAAGUGGAACCCGCUGGAAAGAGGGCCAUAGAAGGUGAAAGUCCUGUACACGAAUCCUAAGCCAAGCCGAGCGAAAUCCUGAGUAAGUCGGGACACGUGAAAUCCUGACCGAAACAGCGGGGACCAUCCCGUAAGGCUAAAUACUCCCGAGAGACCGAUAGCGAACCAGUACCGUGAGGGAAAGGUGAAAAGAACCUCGAACAGAGGAGUGAAAUAGACCCUGAACCCGUCUGCCUACAAGCGGUCGGAGCACCAUAUAGGUGUGACGGCGUGCCUUUUGCAUAAUGAACCUGCGAGUUGUUUUUUUUGGCAAGGUUAAGCAUCAGUAGAUGCGCAGCCGAAGCGAAAGCGAGUCUGAAGAGGGCGCGAUAAAGUCAAAAGGAGCAGACGCGAAACCAAGUGAUCUACCGAUGGCCAGGCUGAAGGUUGGGUAACACCAACUGGAGGGCCGAAUGGAUAUACGUUGAAAAGUGUUCCAAUGAGCUGUGGGUAGGGGUGAAAGGCUAAUCAAACUUGGAGAUAGCUCGUACUCCCCGAAAUGCAUUUAGGUGCAGCCUCGGGUAAGGUACUGAUGAGAGGUAGAGCGACUGAUUGGAUGCGAGGGCUUCACCGCCUAUCAAGUCCGGCCAAACUCCGAAUGCUCAUCAGCAACAUCCCGGGAGUGAGGGCAUGGGUGCUAAGGUCCAUGUCCGAGAGGAGAAGAAUCCAGAUCACCGGCUAAGGUCCCGAAAUAACAGCUCAGUUGCAUUAACGAAGUCCGACCGCAGCGACAGCCAGGAUGUUGGCUUGGAAGCAGCCAUUCAUUUAAAGAGUGCGUAACAGCUCACUGGUCGAGGGGUCGGGCAUGGAUAAUAAUCGGGCAUAAGCUGUUUACCGAAGCCGUGAGAUCGAAAAGAUCGGUAGGGGAGCAUUCCAUUAUCGGCGUUGAAGAUGAGGGGUGACCCUUGUUGGAGCGGAUGGAAAAGCAAAUGCAGGUAUAAGUAACGAUAAAGGGGGUGAAAAACCUCCUCGCCGAAAGACCAAGGGUUCCUGAUCAACGCUAAUCGGAUCAGGGUAAGUCGGGACCUAAGGCUAAGCCGAAGGGCGAUGCCGAUGGAAGAACCGGUUAAUAUUCCGGUACUGCUUUGUGGAGUGAUGUGGAGACGGAGAAGUGACAGCUCGGCCAUCAGACGGAAUAGGUGGUUGAAGGGUGUAGACGUUGAUUGUUGUAGGCAAAUCCGCGACAAGAGUUGAACCUGACAGUAUGCAGCGUACUUGUACAAUGUAAAAAGAGCGUAAACAGGCUCCCAAGAAAACCCGCUAAACAUAUCUACAAAGCACCCGUACUCGAAACGGACACACGUGGUCGGGUUGAAAAUACUAAGGCGCUCGAGUGAUUCACGGUUAAGGAACUAGGCAAAAUGGUCCUGUAACUUCGGGAUAAAGGACGCCAAUAGCGAUAUUGGUCGCAGAGAAUAGGCCCAGGCGACUGUUUAACAAAAACACAUGACUAUGCGAAAUCGAAAGAUGAGGUAUAUGGUCUGACACCUGCCCGGUGCUGGAAGGUUAAGAGGAGAUGUCAUCUCGUAAGGGAGAAGCAUUGAAUUGAAGCCCCAGUAAACGGCGGCCGUAACUAUAACGGUCCUAAGGUAGCGAAAUUCCUUGUCGGGUAAGUUCCGACCUGCACGAAUGGUGUAACGAUCUGGGCACUGUCUCAACUGUGAGCUCGGUGAAAUUGUAGUAUCGGUGAAGAUGCCGAUUACCCGCGAUGGGACGAAAAGACCCCGUGAACCUUUACUAUAGCUUUACAUUGAAAUUGGGCAUGCGAUGUGUAGGAUAGGCCGGAGGCAGAGAGACGGUGACGCCAGUCAUCGUGGAGCCGCUGUUGAAAUACGGCCCUUUGUGUGUUUGGUUUCUAACUCCCGUGUGAUAGGGAGGACGGUGUAUGGUGGGUAGUUUGACUGGGGUGGUCGCCUCCAAAAGCGUAACGGAGGCUUCUAAAGGUACCCUCAGACCGAUUGGUAACCGGUCGUAGAGUGUAAUGGCAUAAGGGUGCUUGACUGAGAGACCUACAAGUCGAUCAGGUAGGAAACUAGAGCAUAGUGAUCCGGUGGUUCCGAAUGGAAGGGCCAUCGCUCAAAGGAUAAAAGGUACUCCGGGGAUAACAGGCUGAUCGCCGCCAAGAGCUCAUAUCGACGCGGCGGUUUGGCACCUCGAUGUCGGCUCGUCACAUCCUGGGGCUGGAGAAGGUCCCAAGGGUUGGGCUGUUCGCCCAUUAAAGUGGCACGCGAGCUGGGUUCAGAACGUCGUGAGACAGUUCGGUCUCUAUCUAUCGUGGGCGUAAGAUAUUUGCGGGGAUCCUGACACUAGUACGAGAGGACCGUGUCGGACAGACCUCUGAUAUACCGGUUGUUUCGCCAGGAGCACAGCCGGGUAGUUAAGUCUGGAAAGGAUAAGUGCUGAAAGCAUCUAAGUACGAAGCCUGCCUCAAGAUUAGAUAUCCAUUAAAAGGGUCGUCGAAGACUACGACGUAGAUAGGCUGCAGGUGUAAAGUCAGUAAUGGCAAAGCUGAGCAGUACUAAUUGCCCGAAGCUUUUUAUCG
rnacentral:rRNA from 1 species